rnacentral:rRNA from 1 species
CCCUUAGACGUUCUGGGCCGCACGCGCGCUACACUGACCAGUGCAACAAGCAUCCGUCCUUGGCCGACAGGCUCGGGCAAUCUUUGAACGCUGGUCGUGAUGGGGAUAGACUUUUGCAAUUUUUGGUCUUCAACGAGGAAUUCCUAGUAAACGCAAGUCAUCAACUUGCAUUGAUUACGUCCCUGCCCUUUGUACACACCGCCCGUCGCACCUACUGAUUGAAUGGUCCGGUGAAGCCUCCGGAUUGGCGCGCACCUCGGUGCCGCCGAGAAGUUGGCUAAACCUUACCAUUUAGAGGAAGGUGAAGUCGUAACA